rnacentral:rRNA from 1 species
UGUGGCUGGGGGUGAAAGGCCAAUCAAACCGGGAGAUAGCUGGUUCUCCCCGAAAGCUAUUUAGGUAGCGCCUCGUGAAUUCAUCUUCGGGGGUAGAGCACUGUUUCGGCUAGGGGGUCAUCCCGACUUACCAACCCGAUGCAAACUACGAAUACCGAAGAAUGUUAUCACGGGAGACACACGGCGGGUGCUAACGUCCGUCGUGAAGAGGGAAACAACCCAGACCGCCAGCUAAGGUCCCAAAGUCAUGGUUAAGUGGGAAACGAUGUGGGAAGGCCCAGACAGCCAGGAUGUUGGCUUAGAAGCAGCCAUCAUUUAAAGAAAGCGUAAUAGCUCACUGGUCGAGUCGGCCUGCGCGGAAGAUGUAACGGGGCUAAACCAUGCACCGAAGCUGCGGCAGCGACACUAUGUGUUGUUGGGUAGGGGAGCGUUCUGUAAGCCGUUGAAGGUGGCCUGUGAGGGUUGCUGGAGGUAUCAGAAGUGCGAAUGCUGACAUAAGUAACGAUAAUGCGGGUGAAAAACCCGCACGCCGGAAGACCAAGGGUUCCUGUCCAACGUUAAUCGGGGCAGGGUGAGUCGACCCCUAAGGCGAGGCCGAAAGGCGUAGUCGAUGGGAAACAGGUUAAUAUUCCUGUACUUGGUGUUACUGCGAAGGGGGGACGGAGAAGGCUAUGUUGGCCGGGCGACGGUUGUCCCGGUUUAAGCAUGUAGGCGGAUGUUCCAGGUAAAUCCGGAGCGUCACUAACGCUGAGGUGUGAUGACGAGGCACUACGGUGCUGAAGUGACAAAUGCCCUGCUUCCAGGAAAAGCCUCUAAGCAUCAGGUAACAUCAAAUCGUACCCCAAACCGACACAGGUGGUCAGGUAGAGAAUACCAAGGCGCUUGAGAGAACUCGGGUGAAGGAACUAGGCAAAAUGGUGCCGUAACUUCGGGAGAAGGCACGCUGAUGGUAGGUGAAGUGACUUGCUCAUGGAGCUGAAAUCAGUCGAAGAUACCAGCUGGCUGCAACUGUUUAUUAAAAACACAGCACUGUGCAAACACGAAAGUGGACGUAUACGGUGUGACGCCUGCCCGGUGCCGGAAGGUUAAUUGAUGGGGUUAUCCUCGCGGAGAAGCUCUUGAUCGAAGCCCCGGUAAACGGCGGCCGUAACUAUAACGGUCCUAAGGUAGCGAAAUUCCUUGUCGGGU